GCCGCUUCCCUGGACACCGACGCGCCGCCCCAAAGCGCGCCUGCGCCGCCUGCCUCAGCCCACUCUGCCUCGCCGGUACCCAUCACCGCUACCCCUCUUCCCACCCGCCACCCCAAGGAUCUCCUCCGCUGCUCCUGCCGGCGAGAACCGCUGCGCCAGCUUACCUGACCGGAUCGUCACCCUCCGCACUGACGCCCAGUCAGCCCCGCAGAGACUCACGCCGAGCCCCGCCUCCCGCGCUGGCCCACAAGCCCCCGCGGCCUCGCCCCGCCCCCUGGAGCCUGGGAUUGAGCGCGCGCAGGAAGUCGGAUUGGUGACUUCCUUCUCAGAAUGGAACCGGCUUCGUGGCUUGAGGGCACUCACAUGGGCUUUCCAUCCUUGCAAGCUUCCCAAGAAGCCACAGUAGGACCAGCCAGCGAGUUGGGCAUUGAGGUGGUCUGGGAUCUGUCAGCAUAUACAGGCCGUGAGAGAGACUGACCCAGAGGACUACUGAAGGGGACACCUGCCCAGGCCAGCCUAUUCUACCAUUCUCAUCCUCCUGCAAAACCAAGACUGAGUCAUUUCAGCAGAGGACCUGAGUACGGAAGGACCCUGCAGCUGACCCAGCACAGGGGAGGCCCAGUCUCACCUUUCAAGGCAACCCUGGCACCUGGAGAUGCUGGAUGUCCUGGGAGUGCUGCCCUGGCCCACAGGAUAGAAGCCCAGGACAGUCACCCACGUCUGAUCUUAUUGAAUGUGCCUUAGAAGCGCCUCCGUAUGUGAUUUAUUUCCCCACAUUGGUUAGUAUGGUGCAUACCACAUUUGUUCCUAGGCUUUUGUUUAAGUUUGUGGGCAGCCCUGACAUCAGCAUCACACUCACUGCCCGGCCUGAGCAUAUUCGUCAGACUUCCCGAACUAGGCCCACUCGUCAGAGUCCCAUGCUGUGCUUCUAGUUCUGCCAGCCACACCCCAUGCUGGUCCUCAGCCUAGAAUACCCUCCCCGACUCCCUGCUCAGCUGCCCGGCUCCUACUCAUCCUCCGGCCUCAGGGCAAAUCCACCCUUCCACAAAGCCUGAGCUCCCCUCUCUAGCCCACAGGAUUGCUCCUGCUUACCAACUCAGUUGUGCGGAUUUGUCCUGCGUGCCUUUGACACAACACAGUCAUCUCUGACCAUCGUUGCUGCCAACGUGGUGUCAGUUAACCUCUGCACUGCCAUUGAACUUUUCCUCUGAAAUUCUUUGAGAAGGGAACACUGCCUCAUGGGUCCUUUGUAUUACCAUCCAAUGUGUGUCAGAAUAUAACAGUUAGAUAAUUAUCAGCCUGUGCCUGGGACCUGCAGUGAAUCAAUACUAAACGAAUCAGGGCACUGGUCAGCCUUCCAGCCCCACUUGUUAUUAAAGAGUCGGUGAAGAAUGUUAGCACAGCAGAGGACAGCAAAAAUGGGUCUCUGGCAGCUGUGGAGCUCCAGAGUUUAUCCGGAGCAGGGGAUGUGGGAUCUAGAGACUCAUCUCGAAGUUACGUUUUCCUAACAAAUACAUUAUUUUUUAGCUAUAUUGUAUACUUGUUGGGGCCUAGUGGAAAUUUAGGAGGAUCUAAACCCCCAAGGCAUCCUUGGCACCACCCCACAAGGGGCAGCCACCACAGGGACUGGACAGUUCCUGCAGUGUCUGAAUCCACAAUGUCACAGAGAUCGCAGCUGUAUCCUGCUUUUUUGGAUCCCAAAGUAACCACCUGCCUACACUCUUUGCCAGCUAUGCUAAUGUUUGUUUUACACUGCCUAGUAAUUAUUAUAAAAUAGAAUUACUAUUCCAUAUCCUCAAACUCCACUGGCUUUGAAGAGUGUCUAGAGGCACAAUGGGAAGUGGACAAGACAGGCAGACAGCGAUAAGGAGGCUGAGAGAGACAGCAAGGGAGUGAGUAAGGGUGAGAUCAAGAGAGAGACAGUCCUGAGGCCGACCCACAGCUGGCCGCUGGCAUGAGGAACCUGGGCUGUUUCUCACCCCAGGUAUGUUGGCACAGCUGAGCUGUUCCGGCUGGCCUCAAAGACAAUGACGGGACAACAGGACUGGCAGGAGCAGUUCUUUAUCCAUGAUUUGAAAUCUACAAUCUGUCAAAAUUACCAUAAUUAUCGUGCCAAGGUAGUUGGGUUAUGGGAAAUCCCCCUUUCUCAUUCAUUCUUUCAUUCACCUGACAAAUCACACUUGAGUGCCAUGCUGUGCCAGACACUGUGAUAUACAAAGUGAAUAAAGGGUGAGCAGCUCAGCAGCUGGAGGGAAAGAAAGACAUAAACAGUGUUUACAGUCAGAUUGGGGCAGCAGGACAUGAAGCUCAGACUGUUGAUUCUAAAGCCAUGCUGCCUGGGUUCAAAUCCCAGUUCUGCCACUCACCA